rnacentral:rRNA from 1 species
GUGCCAGGCGCCGCGGUAAUACGGAGGGUGCAAGCGUUAAUCGGAAUUACUGGGCGUAAAGCGUACGCAGGCGGUUUGUUAAGCGAGAUGUGAAAGGGGCGGGCUCAACCUGGGAACUGCAUUUCGAACUGGCAAACUAGAGUGUGAUAGAGGGUGGUAGAAUUUCAGGUGUAGCGGUGAAAUGCGUAGAGAUCUGAAGGAAUACCGGUGGCGAAGGCGGCCCCCUGGACAGAUACUGACACUCAGAUGCGAAAGCGUGGGGAGCAAACAGGAUUAGAAACCCCCGUAGUCC